rnacentral:tRNA from 1 species
GCUAAAUUGGCAGAUUAGUGCGACUGACUUAGAAUCUUUUUAUAAAUUUAUAUUUAUUUAGUA